GCCCUCGUAGCCCAAUGGUAGGGCGUCAGACUUCUAACUUCCCAGGUUGGGAAUAAGUGAAUCUGAAGGUUGCGGGUUCGAGUCCCGCCGGGGGUA
rfam:Blastomyces gilchristii SLH14081 genomic scaffold supercont1.16, whole genome shotgun sequence.